GUGAGUCAUCGAAUCUUUGAACGCACCUUGCGCUCCUUGGUAUUCCGAGGAGCAUGCCUGUUUGAGUGUCAUUAAUAUAUAUCAACCACUCUCUUGUUGAGUGGUUUGGAUGUGGGGGGUUUGCUGGCCUUUUUAUAAAGGGUUCAGCUCCCCUGAAAUACAUUAGCAGAACAACCUGUUCAUUGGUGUGAUAACUAUCUACGCUAUUGAAUGUGAGGGGCAGUUCAGCUUUCCAACAGUCCUUGGACAAUUUAUCAUUUAUGUGACCUCAAAUCAGGUAGGACUACCCGCUGAACUUAAGCAUAUCAAUAAGCGGAGG
rnacentral:rRNA from 1 species